GGGGGGCAGGGGGCUCAAGUACUCACAUUCUGUACCCAGAGGGCAGAAGUACUCAAACUCACACCCUGGCCUAUACUUAAGUCCAGAAGAUUGUGUCAAAAGGAAGAACGUGUGAAGAAAUGCUUUCAAAGGUGGCACAUCUGCCUCGCUGCUCUGAGGACACACGUUCAAAUCCGGCCUCACCUGUGUUGAGUUUACAUAAAUUCUCCCCCCCUGCGUGGGUUUUCUCUAGUUGCUGCGUUUUCCCCUCACAUUCCAAAAACGUGCACGGUGGGUUCAUUGCGGAUCCUAAAACUGUCCGUUGUCUCGAUCGGCUGGCGACCUGUUCAGGGCGUACCCCGCAUCUCACCCAAAGUCAGAUGGGAUUACGGUAGUGAGAAUAAGGCGAAUGGAAAAUGGUUGGGUUGAUGCUAGCAAAACGACAUCCCCCAUAGUUUUGCUCAUCUUUUGAACAGCCAUCCCAAAUAAGCUAUGCAGUACAGUAGUACCGCGAAGGAAUAAUACACACUGAAAAAUACACGCCAGACUUAACAUGCCUGUUUUUGUUGUUGUUUGAGAUCCAGGCUGGCGCAACGCAUUUACCAAUUAGGGAAAGGAACUAAAGGUUAACUGUCUUUGGCACAGACUCAACGACUGCAUAAUAACGCAAAAAUCUACCACGUCAUUCUUGUGUUUGGAGAGACUAUUGAUGAAAAAACAGAAUCUGGGGUCUUGGCCAAAGUCUAGCAUGUGGAGUCAUAUAGGCGGCAGUGUUCUGGCUCUGUCAAAAGCAAUUUAUUUUGGGGAGAAUUAUUGAUGAAGUGUGGGCAAAGCUAACUUUUCAUGUAUGUGUUAAUUGGACUAUCGGGAGAAUCUGUUUUAAGGGAAAAUGCUACCUUAAAAACAUGCUGGCAACAUGUAAACAGCCGUUACAAAGAAUCAGAUCAAUCCAGGCCCUUUGACCUAAUCAGUAUUGUUAAGACAGUAAAUGGCAUGUAAAUAUGAAUUCACAGAUAAAGAAUCGAGGACGAACAGUACACAAAGAGCGGGGAAAGGGGUGUCAAAUGGACACUGUUCACAUAACAAAGUCAAUUUAGAUCAUUGCAAUUAAUGAAAAGGAGUCAAACCAUUCAUUCCUUUUGGUUCAUUUUCCAUUAUUCAUUUAUCUAUGCUGUUUUUAAAAUGCAAAACCAAAAAAAGAAGUCUUCUCCAACAAAUGUGACACAAGGUGUGUGAAGUAUCAAAAUAAAAUUGUACAUUCGGGGCUGUCAAUUUGUAGCCAGCAUCAUGUCUUAAAAUAAAAUAGUGCUUAUUAUUAAAUGAAAGUUUUAAAAAUCUGAUUCUGAUUAAUUCAAGUGUGUGUAUUGUGUGAAACAAUUAAAAAAAAAAAGAA